AAAAUUUGGGGUGAUUUUGGGGCCAUUUUUUGAAAAAAACCAUGGUACAUAUGUGUUAUAAUUGGACUCGCCGCAUAGGUGAGUAUUAAGUACUUUGGUUGUCUGUCUGUGAUCGUGAAAUUUUUGAAAAAUAUUUUAAAUUAAAAAACUAAGUGCUCUAGGCCUAGAAACCAUGCCUCUAUUAAUAAUUGGCAAUUUUACAUGCUUGCAUUUCUUAAUGCAUUAUUUUUUGUUUUGCUGUCUUAUGCAUGAUCUCUUCAGCAAAUAUAAUCUAUCAAGACAACAGUAUCUGUGCCAUCACAAUAGGUGUUAGUUUUUUAAAGCUCUUUUGACUUGAGUCAGUGAAAACAUGCACUAUUAAAGCAACGAAUCAUGGUCCUUGUCUUUAUCAUGCUGCAUAAUAGAGAUGAAGCCCAUAUUUCAUUGCUUUUACAUAAAUUCAAGAGCAACUGCAGCGAGUCCCAAGCACUGUAGGUGUCUCGUUGCUGAUAUUGUUUAUUUAUUUUAGAGAGUAUUAAACUCACUGAUUGCUCCUGGCAGACUGAGUAUAAGGACACCACCAAUUGAUGGGAGAAUGGGUGUUAUUUGUAGUUCAAGAGUAUUAUCAAGUGCUUAUCCAAGACAUGAAGGUGUUCUAACGUCAGUUACUUCUACUUCUAAUCAAUCCAUGAUCAAUGAAAGAAGGCUAUCAGCUCCUUUAUCAUGGAGUGCUUUUCAAUCACAACUAGCAAACAAUGGAAGCUAUUCACAUCAACAGUAAUGUGCAUACAAUGUACAGCAUGUAUGUACAUGUACUUUUACAAUAGUGGGAAUUAGUAGGUCAAUUUUAGCUACAGUGAAACCUUUAAUUUGAUAUAGGAAUCUCUUACUACCUCAGAUAUUAUAUUCUCUUCCUGCUAGCUAGACACUUACACUUAAUUUCUAAAAAUUUUGAUGUACAAGUUA